rnacentral:rRNA from 1 species
GACGAACGCUGGCGGCGUGCUUAACACAUGCAAGUCGAACGGAGAUUCAGAGGAGCUUGCUCCUCGAAGAUCUUAGUGGCGGACGGGUGAGUAACACGUGGGCAAUCUGCCCGUAAGAGGGGGAUAACACCGUGAAAACGGUGCUAAUACCGCAUAACAUCAAUGGGUUGCAUAACCUGUUGAUCAAAGGAGAAAUCCGCUUACGGAUGAGCCCGCGCCUGAUUAGCUAGUUGGUAGGGUAACGGCCUACCAAGGCUUCGAUCAGUAGCCGGCCUGAGAGGGUGACCGGCCACACUGGAACUGAGACACGGUCCAGACUCCUACGGGAGGCAG